rnacentral:rRNA from 1 species
CCUACGGGGAGCAGCAGUCGAGAAUCAUUCACAAUGGGGGAAACCCUGAUGGUGCGACGCCGCGUGGGGGAAUGAAGGUCUUCGGAUUGUAAACCCCUGUCAUGUGGGAGCAAAUUAAAAAGAUAGUACCACAAGAGGAAGAGACGGCUAACUCUGUGCCAGCAGCCGCGGUAAUACAGAGGUCUCAAGCGUUGUUCGGAAGCACUGGGCGUAAGGCGUUCGUAGGCUGUUUCGUAAGUCGUGUGUGAAAGGCGCGGGCUCAACCCGCGGACGGCACAUGAUACUGCGAGACUAGAGUAAUGGAGGGGGAACCGGAAUUCUCGGUGUAGCAGUGAAAUGCGUAGAUAUCGAGAGGAACACUCGUGGCGAAGGCGGGUUCCUGGACAUUAACUGACGCUGAGGCACGAAGGCCAGGGGAGCGAAAGGGAGUAGAUACCCCUGUAGUC